rnacentral:rRNA from 1 species
AUUGAACGCUGGCGGCAGGCCUAACACAUGCAAGUCGAGCGGAUGAAGGGAGCUUGCUCCUGGAUUCAGCGGCGGACGGGCGAGUAAUGCCUAGGAAUCUGCCUGGUAGUGGGGGAUAACGUCCGGAAACGGGCGCUAAUACCGCAUACGUCCUGAUGGAGAAAGUGGGGGAUCUUCGGACCUCACGCUAUCAGAUGAGCCUAGGUCGGAUUAGCUAGUUGGUGGGGUAAAGGCCUACCAAGGCGACGAUCCGUAACUGGUCUGAGAGGAUGAUCAGUCACACUGGAACUGAGACACGGUCCAGACUCCUACGGGAGGCAGCAGUGGGGAAUAUUGGACAAUGGGCGAAAGCCUGAUCCAGCCAUGCCGCGUGUGUGAAGAAGGUCUUCGGAUUGUAAAGCACUUUAAGUUGGGAGGAAGGGAAGUAAGUUAAUACCUUGCUGUUUUGACGUUACCAACAGAAUAAGCACCGGCUAACUUCGUG